GACGAACGCUGGCGGCGUGCUUAACACAUGCAAGUCGAACGGAAAGGCCCCCUUGUGGGGUACUCGAGUGGCGAACGGGUGAGUAACACGUGAGUAACCUACCCUUGACUUUGGGAUAACUUCAGGAAACUGGGGCUAAUCCCGGAUAGGAGCUCCUGCUGCAUGGUGGGGGUUGGAAAGUUUCGGCGGUUGGGGAUGGACUCGCGGCUUAUCAGCUUGUUGGUGGGGUAGUGGCUCACCAAGGCUUUGACGGGUAGCCGGCCUGAGAGGGUGACCGGCCACAUUGGGACUGAGAUACGGCCCAGACUCCUACGGGAGGCAGCAGUGGGGAAUAUUGCACAAUGGGCGGAAGCCUGAUGCAGCAACGCCGCGUGCGGGAUGACGGCCUUCGGGUUGUAAACCGCUUUCGCCUGUGACGAAGCGUGAGUGACGGUAAUGGGUAAAGAAGCACCGGCUAACUACGUG
rnacentral:rRNA from 1 species